rnacentral:rRNA from 1 species
UACGAAGGGGGCUAGCGUUGCUCGGAAUCACUGGGCGUAAAGCGCACGUAGGCGGGUUUCUAAGUCAGGGGUGAAAUCCUGGAGCUCAACUCCAGAACUGCCUUUGAUACUGGGAAUCUCGAGUCCGGAAGAGGUGAGUGGAACUGCGAGUGUAGAGGUGAAAUUCGUAGAUAUUCGCAAGAACACCAGUGGCGAAGGCGGCUCACUGGUCCGGUACUGACGCUGAGGUGCGAAAGCGUGGGGAGCAAACAGG